rnacentral:antisense_RNA from 1 species
CUUCAGCGAGCCCAGCCACAACGGCUCGGCGCGGUCCUGCCCGUACGUGGCCAGCAGCGCCUGGGCCUC